GACGAACGCUGGCGGCGUGCUUAACACAUGCAAGUCGAGCGGUAAGGCCCUUUCGGGGGUACACGAGCGGCGAACGGGUGAGUAACACGUGGGUGACCUGCCCUCAGCUCUGGGAUAAGCCUGGGAAACCGGGUCUAAUACCGGAUAUGACUCCAUGACGCAUGUUGUGGGGUGGAAAGCCUUGUGCGGCUGAGGAUGGGCCCGCGGCCUAUCAGCUUGUUGGUGGGGNGAUGGCCUACCAAGGCGACGACGGGUAGCCGGCCUGAGAGGGCGACCGGCCACACUGGGACUGAGACACGGCCCAGACUCCUACGGGGGGCAGCAGUGGGGAAUCUUGCGCAAUGGGCGAAAGCCUGACGCAGCGACGCCGCGUGAGGGAUGACGGCCU
rnacentral:rRNA from 1 species